GUGGGGAAUAUUGGACAAUGGGCGCAAGCCUGAUCCAGCCAUGCCGCGUGUGUGAAGAAGGCCUUCGGGUUGUAAAGCACUUUCAGCGAGGAGGAAGGGAUGUAUGUUAAUAGCAUGCAUUUUUGACGUUACUCGCAGAAGAAGCACCGGCUAACUCUGUGCCAGCAGCCGCGGUAAUACAGAGGGUGCAAGCGUUAAUCGGAAUUACUGGGCGUAAAGCGCACGUAGGCGGUUUUUUAAGUCAGAUGUGAAAGCCCCGGGCUCAACCUGGGAAUUGCAUGUGAAACUGGGGAACUAGAGUGUGUGAGAGGGGGGUAGAAUUCCAAGUGUAGCGGGGAAAUGCGUAGAGAUUUGGAGGAAUACCAGUGGCGAAGGCGGCCCCCUGGCACAACACUGACGCUCAGGUGCGAAAGCGUGGGGAGCAAACAGGAUUAGAUACCCGAGUAGUCC
rnacentral:rRNA from 1 species